GUUCAUGGCUCAGGAUGAACGCUAGCUACAGGCUUAACACAUGCAAGUCGCGGGGCAGCAUGAAGUCAGCUUGCUGACUUUGAUGGCGACCGGCGCACGGGUGAGUAACGCGUAUCCAACCUGCCUGUUACCACGGCACAGCCCGUCGAAAGGCGGAUUAAUGCCGUAUGUGGUCCUUUGCGGGCAUCUAAUUAGGACUAAAGGUUCAGCGGUAACGGAUGGGGAUGCGUCCGAUUAG
rnacentral:rRNA from 1 species